AGCGAACGCUGGCGGCAGGCCUAACACAUGCCAGUCGAACGCAUCACUUCGGUUUGGAGUGGCAGACGGGUGCGGAACGCGUGGGAACGUACCCUUCGAUCUGGGAUAACUGCGGGAAACUGGAGCUAAUACCGGAUACUCCCGUUUGGGUAAAGAUUGACUGUCUAAGGAUCGGCCGGCGUCGGAUUAGCUAGUUGGUGGGGUAACGGCGUACCAAGGCGACGAGCAGUAGCUGGUCUGAGAGGAUGAUCAGCCACACUGGGACUGAGACACGGCCCAGACUCCUACGGGAGGCAGCAGUGGGGAAUAUUGGACAAUGGGCGCAAGCCUGAUCCAGCCAUGCCGCGUGAGUGAUGAAGGCCUUAGGGUUGUAAAGCUCUUUUGUCCGGGACGAUAAUGACGGUACCGGAAGAAUAAGCCCCGGCUAACUUCGUG
rnacentral:rRNA from 1 species